GACGUAGGAUCCGAGCGUUAUCCGAAUUCACUGGGCGUAAAGCGCGUGCAGGCGGCCCGGUAAGUUAGGUGUGAAACCUCCCGGCUCAACUGGGAGAGGACGCCUAAGACUGCUGGGCUCGAGGGUGGUAGAGGGAGGUGGAAUUCCCGGUGUAGUGGUGAAAUGCGUAGAUAUCGGGAGGAACACCAGUGGCGAAAGCGACCUCCUGGACCAUCUCUGACGCUCAGACGCGAAAGCUAGGGGAGCAAACGGG
rnacentral:rRNA from 1 species